GACGAACGCUGGCGGCGUGCUUAACACAUGCCAGUCGAACGGAAAGGCCCUGCUUUUGUGGGGUGCUCGAGUGGCGAACGGGUGAGUAACACGUGAGUAACCUGCCCUUGACUUUGGGAUAACUUCAGGAAACUGGGGCUAAUACCGGAUAGGAGCUCCUGCUGCAUGGUGGGGGUUGGAAAGUUUCGGCGGUUGGGGAUGGACUCGCGGCUUAUCAGCUUGUUGGUGGGGUAGUGGCUUACCAAGGCUUUGACGGGUAGCCGGCCUGAGAGGGUGACCGGCCACAUUGGGACCGAGAUAAGGGCCAGACUCCUACGGGGGGCAGCAGUGGGGAAUAUUGCACAAUGGGCGGAAGCCUGAUGCAGCAACGCCGCGUGCGGGAUGACGGCCUUCGGGUUGUAAACCGCUUUCGCCUGUGACGAAGCGUGAGUGACGGUAAUGGGUAAAGAAGCACCGGCUAACUACGUG
rnacentral:rRNA from 1 species